UUAAGCGACUAAGCGUACACGGUGGAUGCCCUGGCAGUCAGAGGCGAUGAAGGACGUGCUAAUCUGCGAUAAGCGUCGGUAAGGUGAUAUGAACCGUUAUAACCGGCGAUUUCCGAAUGGGGAAACCCAGUGUGAUUCGUCACACUAUCAUUAACUGAAUCCAUAGGUUAAUGAGGCGAACCGGGGGAACUGAAACAUCUAAGUACCCCGAGGAAAAGAAAUCAACCGAGAUUCCCCCAGUAGCGGCGAGCGAACGGGGAGCAGCCCAGAGCCUGAAUCAGUGUGUGUGUUAGUGGAAGCGUCUGGAAAGGCGUGCGAUACAGGGUGACAGCCCCGUACACAAAAAUGCACAUACUGUGAGCUCGAUGAGUAGGGCGGGACACGUGGUAUCCUGUCUGAAUAUGGGGGGACCAUCCUCCAAGGCUAAAUACUCCUGACUGACCGAUAGUGAACCAGUACCGUGAGGGAAAGGCGAAAAGAACCCCGGCGAGGGGAGUGAAAAAGAACCUGAAACCGUGUACGUACAAGCAGUGGGAGCACGCUUAGGCGUGUGACUGCGUACCUUUUGUAUAAUGGGUCAGCGACUUAUAUUCUGUAGCAAGGUUAACCGAAUAGGGGAGCCGAAGGGAAACCGAGUCUUAACUGGGCGUUAAGUUGCAGGGUAUAGACCCGAAACCCGGUGAUCUAGCCAUGGGCAGGUUGAAGGUUGGGUAACACUAACUGGAGGACCGAACCGACUAAUGUUGAAAAAUUAGCGGAUGACUUGUGGCUGGGGGUGAAAGGCCAAUCAAACCGGGAGAUAGCUGGUUCUCCCCGAAAGCUAUUUAGGUAGCGCCUCGUGAAUUCAUCUCCGGGGGUAGAGCACUGUUUCGGCAAGGGGGUCAUCCCGACUUACCAACCCGAUGCAAACUGCGAAUACCGGAGAAUGUUAUCACGGGAGACACACGGCGGGUGCUAACGUCCGUCGUGAAGAGGGAAACAACCCNNNNGACCGCCAGCUAAGGUCCCAAAGUCAUGGUUAAGUGGGAAACGAUGUGGGAAGGCCCAGACAGCCAGGAUGUUGGCUUAGAAGCAGCCAUCAUUUAAAGAAAGCGUAAUAGCUCACUGGUCGAGUCGGCCUGCGCGGAAGAUGUAACGGGGCUAAACCAUGCACCGAAGCUGCGGCAGCGACGCUUAUGCGUUGUUGGGUAGGGGAGCGUUCUGUAAGCCUGUGAAGGUGUGCUGUGAGGUAUGCUGGAGGUAUCAGAAGUGCGAAUGCUGACAUAAGUAACGAUAAAGCGGGUGAAAAGCCCGCUCGCCGGAAGACCAAGGGUUCCUGUCCAACGUUAAUCGGGGCAGGGUGAGUCGACCCCUAAGGCGAGGCCGAAAGGCGUAGUCGAUGGGAAACAGGUUAAUAUUCCUGUACUUGGUGUUACUGCGAAGGGGGGACGGAGAAGGCUAUGUUGGCCGGGCGACGGUUGUCCCGGUUUAAGCGUGUAGGCUGGUUUUCCAGGCAAAUCCGGAAAAUCAAGGCCGAGGCGUGAUGACGAGGCACUACGGUGCUGAAGCAACAAAUGCCCUGCUUCCAGGAAAAGCCUCUAAGCAUCAGGUAACAUCAAAUCGUACCCCAAACCGACACAGGUGGUCAGGUAGAGAAUACCAAGGCGCUUGAGAGAACUCGGGUGAAGGAACUAGGCAAAAUGGUGCCGUAACUUCGGGAGAAGGCACGCUGAUACGUAGGUGAAGCGACUUGCUCGUGGAGCUGAAAUCAGUCGAAGAUACCAGCUGGCUGCAACUGUUUAUUAAAAACACAGCACUGUGCAAACACGAAAGUGGACGUAUACGGUGUGACGCCUGCCCGGUGCCGGAAGGUUAAUUGAUGGGGUUAGCGCAAGCGAAGCUCUUGAUCGAAGCCCCGGUAAACGGCGGCCGUAACUAUAACGGUCCUAAGGUAGCGAAAUUCCUUGUCGGGUAAGUUCCGACCUGCACGAAUGGCGUAAUGAUGGCCAGGCUGUCUCCACCCGAGACUCAGUGAAAUUGAACUCGCUGUGAAGAUGCAGUGUACCCGCGGCAAGACGGAAAGACCCCGUGAACCUUUACUAUAGCUUGACACUGAACAUUGAGCCUUGAUGUGUAGGAUAGGUGGGAGGCUUUGAAGUGUGGACGCCAGUCUGCAUGGAGCCGACCUUGAAAUACCACCCUUUAAUGUUUGAUGUUCUAACGUGGACCCGUGAUCCGGGUUGCGGACAGUGUCUGGUGGGUAGUUUGACUGGGGCGGUCUCCUCCUAAAGAGUAACGGAGGAGCACGAAGGUUGGCUAAUCCUGGUCGGACAUCAGGAGGUUAGUGCAAUGGCAUAAGCCAGCUUGACUGCGAGCGUGACGGCGCGAGCAGGUGCGAAAGCAGGUCAUAGUGAUCCGGUGGUUCUGAAUGGAAGGGCCAUCGCUCAACGGAUAAAAGGUACUCCGGGGAUAACAGGCUGAUACCGCCCAAGAGUUCAUAUCGACGGCGGUGUUUGGCACCUCGAUGUCGGCUCAUCACAUCCUGGGGCUGAAGUAGGUCCCAAGGGUAUGGCUGUUCGCCAUUUAAAGUGGUACGCGAGCUGGGUUUAGAACGUCGUGAGACAGUUCGGUCCCUAUCUGCCGUGGGCGCUGGAGAACUGAGGGGGGCUGCUCCUAGUACGAGAGGACCGGAGUGGACGCAUCACUGGUGUUCGGGUUGUCAUGCCAAUGGCACUGCCCGGUAGCUAAAUGCGGAAGAGAUAAGUGCUGAAAGCAUCUAAGCACGAAACUUGCCCCGAGAUGAGUUCUCCCUGACCCUUUAAGGGUCCUGAAGGAACGUUGAAGACGACGACGUUGAUAGGCCGGGUGUGUAAGCGCAGCGAUGCGUUGAGCUAACCGGUACUAAUGAACCGUGAGGCUUAACCUU
rnacentral:rRNA from 1 species